UACGUAGGGGGCGAGCGUUGUCCGGAUUUAUUGGGCGUAAAGAGCUCGUAGGCGGUUUGGCAAGUCGGGUGUGAAAACUCCGGCUCAACUCGGAGACGCCACUCGAUACUGCCAUGACUCGAGUCCGGUAGGGGAGUGCGGAAUUCCUGGUGUAGCGGUGAAAUGCGCAGAUAUCAGGAGGAACACCGGUGGCGAAGGCGGCACUCUGGGCCGGUACUGACGCUGAGGAGCGAAAGCGUGGGGAGCAAACAGG
rnacentral:rRNA from 1 species